GGUGUAUCAAACCAAUGGAUUACAUAGCAAUGGAGGAAGCUGUGUUUAUUGGUCUCACUGAAAACAGAAAAAUGAAAGAUUUAAGGGAGAAAGAGACCUUCACAAGCCUUCAAAUCCAUGUUUUCAGACUUCACUCCCCUGUAACCUUAAACAGAGAGCUGUUUUUCCUGUUCAAGCUCACAGCAAACCAUAGGCAUCAAAGGAGACCUGCCUUUAAGAGUGAAAAUAUGUCCAGUGCCCUGACGUGGCUCCAUGUUUUUGGAGGGGGCUGGUGAGGUCUGAGAACACAUGGGUG